rnacentral:rRNA from 1 species
GACGAACGCUGGCGGCGUGCUUAACACAUGCAAGUCGAGCGGUAAGGCCCCUCCGGGGGCACACGAGCGGCGAACGGGUGAGUAACACGUGAGCAACCUGCCCCUGACUCCGGGAUAAGCGGUGGAAACGCCGUCUAAUACCGGAUACGACCCUCCGGCUCCUGCCGCGGGGGUGGAAAGUUUAUUCGGUGGGGGAUGGGCUCGCGGCCUAGCGGCUGGUUGGUGGGGUAAAAGCCUACCAAGGCGAUUACGGGUAGCCGGCCUGAGAGGGCGACCGGCCACACUGGGACUGAGACACGGCCCAGACUCCUGCGGGAGGCAGCAGUGGGGAAUCUUGCGCAAUGGGCGAAAGCCUGACGCAGCGACGCCGCGUGGGGGAUGACGGCCUUCGGGUUGUAAACUCCUUUUACCACUCACGCAGGCCCGGAGUGUUCUUCGGGUUGACGGUAGGUGGGGAAUAAGGACCGGCUAACUACGUGCCAGCAGCCGCCGUAA